GUACUAACUAAAAGUAGUACCUGGUACCACGUACUAUGCUAGUGGAAACGCUACUUAAACCGUGCCGUGGCGUGGCGUGGCGAGGCGAGGCGAGGCGAGGCGAGUAGAGCCGGUGGAAAUGCGCCAUUACAUCGGCUAAUCAAUAUAAGAUACCAACAAGUGCGGAGGCUACGUUUUCAUCUUCACAGCUGAGACACGGACAAGAACCGGAGUGAACUCAACACGUGUGCAGGAGUCAGGGCUACAUGACUGGAGGUCAAACGUCUGAAGGGGUACAGGACUGUGAAAAGUUUGGGACCACUGAUCUACUCCCAUUCACAAGGAAUGAAAGGAGGGGGAGAGAGUCGUAUCUACAGAAGCUUGCCUGCCAACUCACGAAAAUAACAAAGUUUGCUCAAGACUGACUGACCAAAACCUUGAAGACCAUCUGUGAGUAGCAUCAUCAUCAUCAUCAUCAUCAUCAUCAUCACUGCCAGCUGAUACAGACACCUCACCAAAGAGAAGCACUUUGCAUUAGACACAGUUCACAUGCAGCGACGACGUUGUGAUGUGCAUCUGCUGCCAAACUGCCUGUUUUUUUCCUGGGCAAGUCCUAUAGAGUCGCAUAUGAAAAACAAAAAAAACCAAAAAAAAGUAUCUCAACUUUUUGGAAUGCAACGAGCACCGUCAGCACAUCUUUGUGAUACUUGGUCCUGAAAUAACCACUGAGCCUCCAUCAUCCAGCC